AUUGAACGCUGGCGGCAUGCCUAACACAUGCAAGUCGAACGGUAACAGGAAGCAGCUUGCUGCUUUGCUUACGAGUGGCGGACGUGUGAGUCAUGUCUGGGAAACUGCCCUAUGGAUGGGGAUAACUACUGGAAACGGUAGCUAAUACCGCAUAACGUCUCAAGACCAAAGAGGAGUACCUUAGGACCGCUUUCCAUCGGAUUUGCCCAGAUUGGAUUAGCUAGUAGGUGGGGUAACGGCUCACCUAGGCGACGAUCCCUAGCUGGUCUGAGAGGAUGACCAGCCACACUGGAACUGAGACACGGUCCAGACUCCUACGGGAGGCAGCAGUGGGGAAUAUUGCACAAUGGGCGAAAGCCUGAUGCAGCCAUGCCGCGUGUAUGAAGAAGGUCUUCGGGUUGUAAAGUACUUUUAGUGGGGAGGAAGGAAGUAAAGAUAAUAUCUUCGCUUAUUGACGUUACCUGAAGAAGAAGCACCGGCUAACUCCGUG
rnacentral:rRNA from 1 species